GCAUUGGUUGUCUUAAAUUUGUGUAAUUGUGGUUUAGAAAUCCCAGCGAGCAAGAGGCUUAGCUGCUUCCAAGUGCUGAGAUUGUCAAAUGUGGAUUUGAACGGGCUAGCCGGACACCUCCUUUCAAUAUGCCCUUCCCUUGAGACUUUAGACAUCAAGUCAUGCAGGAACAUAAAACAUCUUCAAAUUAGUUCCAACUUCAAGCUCAAGAAUGUUCUUGG
rnacentral:lncRNA from 1 species